rnacentral:rRNA from 1 species
CCUACGGGUGGCAGCAGUGGGGAAUAUUGCACAAUGGGCGAAAGCCUGAUGCAGCAACGCCGCGUGAGCGAAGAAGGUCUUCGGAUUGGAAAGCUCUGUCCUAGGGGAAGUAGAAAAUGACGGUACCCUUGGAUGAAGCCCCGGCUAACUACGUGCCAGCAGCCGCGGUAAGCCGUGGGGGGCAAGCGUUAUCCGGAAUUAAUGGGCGUAAAGAGUGCUUAUGUGGUUACCUAAGCAGGGGGUGAAAGGCAAUGGCUCAACCAUUGUUAGCCCUCUGCACUGGGUUCCUUGAGUGCAGGAGAGGAAAGCGGAAUUCGUAGGGUAGCGGUGAAAUGCGUAGAUAUUAGGAGGAACGCCAGUGGCGAAGGCGGCUUUCUGGACUGAAACUGACACUGAGGCACGAAAGUGUGGGGAGCAAACAGGAUUAGAUACCCUAGUAGUC